rnacentral:misc_RNA from 1 species
AAGUCGUAACAAGGUCUUCGUAGGUGAACCUGCGAAGGGAUCAUUAACACGUUCCAAACCAAAUUAUCAACCCAUCUGUGAACAUUUGUUACCGCCGAUAUGGCUAACUGUGAGUGUAUGGCGCAUACGACUUCGACUCAACGAUGAAGUAUGGAAUGAGAGUUCCAUGCACGGUCUAGUAUGCCUCGCGCUCGUCUACUCAGGUAUGCGAGCAGCUAUCCUCGUAGUUGGUCCGGCCCUAUAUAUGCGCUUCGACGGUCGUCAUCUGCCGUCGAUUCUCAUAUCACACACGCCCUGUGGCUGGUUGCUCGGUUCCGAGCAUCUAGGCACACUAUAUCAAUUUAUCCUUAAUAAUGCUGCGCAGACGUUCAGUCCACGCAUGCUAAUAAAUAACUAACAGUGAACAACUCUUAGCAAUGGAUAUCUUGGUUCUC